AACUUUGCUUAAUAUCGUCUUACCAAAUUAUGCUUAUUUAAGUUGAUAGGUCUGCGCAUGCGCAGAACGUAACUCCUUACGCUUGCAUAUUUUGGUAAGAGGAUAUUAAAAAAAGCUGUUCGUCUUGAUGAGGGCUACAACUCUGCUUAAUAUCGUCUUACCAAAUUAUGCUUAUUUAAGGAGAUAGGUCUGCGCAUGCGCAUAACUUAACUCCUUACGCUUGCAUUUUUUGGUAAGAAGAUGUUAACAAAAGUU
rnacentral:miRNA from 1 species